AGAUGGCCGCCCACCUAGAGCCUCAUUCUGCUUGAGGUUUCUUCCUGUGAAAGGGGAGUUUUUCCUCGCCGCCGUCGCCAAGUGCUUACUCAUGAGGGAAUGUCAGAUGGAGGCAUGUUUACAUAAGAGCUGAUCUCAACACACUUUCAUUUAAACAUUUGCACAGAUGGACACAUGAACCAGUACAUAUGAACAUGUGCACACACACACACGCACACACAUGCACGCACACACACAUACACAGUGUCAUCAUCAUCAAAGUUCAGUCUCCCUCGCCGCCUUCCUGUCAUCCUUCUCCAGUCGAAACCUCCCUGUCAUGAAGCAGUGGAGCCGCCUUUCAUUUUUCUCGCCCUUCCCCCUUUGAUCACUCUGUAUCUGCCGCAUCAGCAAGGUGCCAGGCAGCACAAUGACAUCAUCUAAUGGAGACAGCGCAGGAAGACUGACACUAUCCUCUGCCUGUCAAUCAUUAUCACCGCCCGCUAGGAAAGCUGUGUUUGUCUGCAGCUGUGACUGAUUGAUGGACAGGCGGUGGAGCGGGUCGUCCACCGGCCGCAGGGUUGGCGGUUCAACCCCCGGCUCUUCCUGUCCAUGUGUCGACACGUCCUUGAGCAAGACACUGAACCCCAAGUUGCUCCCGAUGGUCAGGCCGGACCAUCAGUGUAAACUCACUGCUUGUGCUGCUGUGGAGCCUGACUGAUAAAAACUUUUCUUCACCAGUUUUUCAAGCAACAUAUUUUUGUAUAACUCAACAGAUACUGGUAGUUUUUCCUCUAUAAUUAAUAUACUAAUGUAAUUUUUGACAACUCAUCUUAACUUAUGCUGGUUGCUGUUGGAGAUACAUGAACACCAGGCAGACAUGCAGCAGAACCAGAUCAGUGUUAUUCAUCUCCCUCAGAACGUAUCACUACUUUCUGCCCUUAUUUGACAUUCUCACACCAGUUCUGGUUGCAUAUUUUUUGCAAGUCAAUUACCUGCCUUAAGAGGAUAUUUGUGCAUGUGAAGAAGUGAGCUGUUGAACAGAAAGCGCGUGUGUGUGUCGCGUGUGGCCUGUGUGUGUGUUCUGGUUGGAUGACCGUCACAGGCUCAUGAACUAGCCGUGAUCCAUGCUGGGAUAUCACAGGCCACCUCAACAAGUUCAACCUACAGCUGCGAGGCGCGGGCCAGACAGCGCUGGCUCUGUUUGAUGCAUGGACGGCAGUCGUGGCGAAGGUUGGAGUCUACUCACGGGACAUUCAAAGUGAAACCUUUCAUUACUUCAAACACCUGAAGGAGCAUCAAACCAUCAACGGUGAUGACGUCAGCGUGCACAUGCGAGAGCUGGAGUCGGUGUUCUGUGCCAGAUUUCAGGUCUUCCAGCAACAAGGCCCAUUGUUUUCUUUUUUUUUGAUAAACCCAGAACACUUGAAGGAGAACAGCAUGUCUCUGUUUCAGUGGAUGGGGGACUGAGGAGUUUAAAAUGCGGCGGAUAGAACUCAACACAUCCUCACUGAGGGCUUCUAAAUUCACGCAGAUGCGUAAAACACUGGAAACUGCCGACAUGGAUCAAGGGGCCUCCAUCCUGGCCUGUUGGGAGAGCUUGCAAGAGAAGUUUAACUGUCUGAAGGUGGUGGCCUUCGCGUUGAUUUCAGCAUUUUGGAUCCACAUAUAUGUGUGAACAGAUAUUCUCACAUAUGAAGUCAAUUUUGAAUCCAACACGCAGUUGAAUGACUACGGACAGUUCAGAGACGUGUGUCCAACUGAAAGACUCCAAAUACGGACCAGAGAUCACACAGCUCAGCAAAGGAAAGCAGGGAUAAGGGUCGCGUUAGAUUGAGAAAGAAGGAACGAGGGAGGAGGGAGAGGCGAGGAGAGGGACCGAGAGAAGGGAGAGGGAACGAUAGCUCGACAAACAGCUAGAGAGAAGAGGCCUCUGCCAGUGAUCCAUGGACGGUAAUGGCCAUUCCUGCUGCUCCCACAGCACACACCAUUACUACUGGAACACCCAGAUGGAGAGCGACAGACGGCGAGGGAAAGAGAGAGAAAGACUGAGAGGAAGAAAGAAAAAAGAGACAAGAGCACAUGGCUCUGGGUUGGAAUCGAUUGUAACGGCUGUGGAUCCAAGCUGACCGUUGCUGCUGUCCGCCAUGAAGCAGCAAUCUACAACCUUUUCAGAGGAACCUUUCAACCCUGCACGUUCUCACCUGGGUCGGUAUGAGUGAUUGUCGGUGAUGUCCCUGGAAAGCCUCAGUAAGCAGUUGGAAUCAGAUUGUACCCUGCAGUGCCUCGGUGUUUCCAUUUUUACUUCUCUGCCACUUUUCCUCAUCCUCUUCCUCCUCACCUUGAUUUUCUAUGUAAGGUUUAACCUCAAAAUAGUCUGGAUCCACAACAACAAGGGGCUUUCUGGUACAGCAGAGCUUUAGACUUAAAAUGAAGACUUGAGACUUCUGACUCAGAUUUGAAAUAAAAAAAAGUCUCUUUCAUGGAAAAAGAAAAAAUAAAUAAGAUGGUGUUAGACACUGUUAUUACGGACUCGUCUUGACUGAGUUGAGACUUGACUUGAACUUGCCCUAAAACACUUAAAAACAGCUCUGCUCUAUGGAUUAUAAUGCUGCAACUGCAUGGCCUAUUUCUCACUUUAUUCAGAAGCUUUCAAUGGAUAGCUUGGGGGAAAUUAAACAAUGUCUUCAGAACAGCGGUCAUGUUGAUCCAGUUUGAAGCACAACCAAAGGAAAACCUGUAAUGAUUGGCACAUUCGUCCAAUCAGAUGCAGACAUAUAUAUAUACGUAUAUGUAUAUACACACAUAUAUAUACAUUUUUUUUCUGCAAACUAAAACAUUUGCUCAUUAUUAUGGUUUAUAGUUGGAGUUGGGUAUCUUUGAGUACAAAAAGCAAAAAACAUCUUUAUUUUCAACAGAUUCAGACUUCCAUAAACCACCACUUGAGGAUUGAUGAGGUAUUUUGUGAUACUUUAUGUUU